rnacentral:rRNA from 1 species
CAAAAAUCGAUCUGAUGAGCUGUGGUUUGGAGCAAAAGACUAAUCAAACCCGUAAAUAUCUGGUUCUCCCCGAAAUAGUUCUUGGACUAGCCUCGUGCCACUGAGCGGUAGGGGUAGAGAAACUGAAUGGGUUUGGGGGACUAACCGUCUACCCUACCUAACCAAACUCCGAAUACUACCGCUUUUACCACGGGGGUAAGACCUUGGGGGACAACCUUCAUGGUCAAAAGGGAAACAACCCACAUCGCCAGCUAAGGUCCCAAAGAUAGCCUAAGUCCGAAAGGAAGUAGAGGUGCUAUGACAGCUAGGAUGUUGGCUUAGAAGCAGCCAUCAUUUAAAAAGUGCGUAAUAGCUUACUAGUCGAGCAUCUCUGCGCCGAAAACUAUCGGGAGUCAAGGCUAUCACCAAGGCUGCGGGAUGGCAGUGCCGAGAGGUGCUGCGAUCGGUAGGGGAGCGUUCCACGCCGGGCUGAAGGAGUACCGUAAGGAGCUCUGGACUGCGUGGAAGUGAUGAUGCCGGAAUGAGUAGCGAGAAAAUGAGUGAGAAGCUCAUUCGCCGUAAACCUAAGGUUUCCUGGGGAAGGCAAUUCCGCCCAGGGUUAGUCGGCACCUAAGGCGAGGCCGAAAGGCGUAGCCGAUGGACAGCGCGUUAAUAUUCGUGCACCACUUCUGGCGAGUUGAUGAUGGGGUGACAAAGGUCUGGAUGUCAGCGGAGCGUCGAUUGUCUCCGUCUCUGGCUCGCGGGUGGGCUGUAGGUAAAUCCGCAGCCGUAAGCCUGGGAGUCGGGGCAGGACCAUCUGAGUCUGAAGUGAUUGGUAGGACCUUUCAAGAAAAACCUCGGUUCGUAUUUCCAGGAGUGACCGUACUAAAACUGACACAGGUAGGUGAGGUGAAUAUCCUAAGGCGCUCGAGAGAACCUUCGUUAAGGAACUAGGCAACUUAACUCCGUAACUUCGGGAUAAGGAGUGCCCCGUUAGGGUGAGCAUUUUUCAGUGCAAGCCUGAAGGGGUCGCAGUGAAAAGGGUCUAGCGACUGUUUACUAAAAACACAGGACUGUGCCAAGACCAAAAGUCGAUGUAUACAGUCUGACGCCUGCUCGGUGCCGGAAGGUUAAGGGGAAGGGUUAUCCCUUCGGGGAGAAGCUCAUAACCGAAGCCCCGAUUAACGGCGGCCGUAACUAUGACGGUCCUAAGGUAGCGAAGUUCCUUGUCGGGUAAGUUCCGACCCGCACGAAUGGCGUUACGACUGGACCGGUGUCUCAACGAAGGACUCGGCGAAAUUGUAGUUGUGGUGAAGAUACCACAUACCCGCAGCUAGACGGAAAGACCCCGUGAACCUUUACUAUACCCUAUUAUUGGCUUUGAGUAAUAUAUGUGUAGGAUAGGUGGGAGGCUUUGAAGGAAGGUCGCCA